rnacentral:rRNA from 1 species
GGGUGAGUAACACGUGGGUAACCUGCCUGUAAGACUGGGAUAACUCCGGGAAACCGGAGCUAAUACCGGAUAGUUCCUUGAACCGCAUGGUUCAAGGAUGAAAGACGGUUUCGGCUGUCACUUACAGAUGGACCCGCGGCGCAUUAGCUAGUUGGUGGGGUAAUGGCUCACCAAGGCGACGAUGCGUAGCCGACCUGAGAGGGUGAUCGGCCACACUGGGACUGAGACACGGCCCAGACUCCUACGGGAGGCAGCAGUAGGGAAUCUUCCGCAAUGGACGAAAGUCUGACGGAGCAACGCCGCGUGAGUGAUGAAGGUUUUCGGAUCGUAAAGCUCUGUUGUUAGGGAAGAACAAGUGCGAGAGUAACUGCUCGCACCUUGACGGUACCUAACCAGAAAGCCACGGCUAACUACGUGCCAGCAGCCGCGGUAAUACGUAGGUGGCAAGCGUUGUCCGGAAUUAUUGGGCGUAAAGGGCUCGCAGGCGGUUUCUUAAGUCUGAUGUGAAAGCCCCCGGCUCAACCGGGGAGGGUCAUUGGAAACUGGGAAACUUGAGUGCAGAAGAGGAGAGUGGAAUUCCACGUGUAGCGGUGAAAUGCGUAGAGAUGUGGAGGAACACCAGUGGCGAAGGCGACUCUCUGGUCUGUAACUGACGCUGAGGGAGCGAAAGCGUGGGGGAGCGAACAGGAUUAGAUACCCUGGUAGUCCACGCCGUAAACGAUGAGUGCUAAGUGUUGAGGGGGUUUCCGCCCCUUUAGUGCUGC